rnacentral:rRNA from 1 species
UAGAGUGCUUAAAGCAGGCUCUUAAAUCAGCCUGAAUAGUGGUGCAUGGAAUAAUGGAACAGGACCUUGGUUCUAUUUUGUUGGUUUUCGGAAUCCAAGGUAAUGAUCAAUAAGGACAGGCGGGGGCAUUCGUAUUGCGGCGUUAGAGGUGAAAUUCUUGGAUCGUCGCAAGACGCACUAGAGCGAAAGCAUUUGCCAAGUAUGUCUUAAUUGAUCAAGAACGAAAGUUAGAGGUUCGAAGGCGAUCAGAUACCGCCCUAGUUCUAACCAUAAACGAUGCCAGCCAGCGAUCCGCCGACGUUCCUCCGAUGACUCGGCGGGGAGCUUCCCCCGGGAAACCAAAAGCUUUUGGGUUCCGGGGGAAGUAUGGUUGCAAAGCUGAAACUUAAAGGAAUUGACGGAAGGGCACCACCAGGAGUGGAGCCUGCGGCUUAAUU